AGGUUGUUCUUUGAAAUAUCAUGUUGUCCUUGUUCUUCAGACUCAUUUCAGCUCUGUGUUUGGAAAUCGCAUAGAACAGGUGAGGGGGGUUGUGCACAAGAACCCUGCCCUGGCAAAGGCUUGAUUUCAUGAAAAGGGAUUACCCACAAAAAAGCACAGCUGCCAUCAGCCUGACAAUUCACAAAGGAUCAUCUCCUAGUGCCUCAGAAAAGUGUCUUCCCACCUGUGAUGCGGC
rnacentral:lncRNA from 1 species